rnacentral:rRNA from 1 species
AUUGAACGCUGGCGGAAUGCUUUACACAUGCAAGUCGAACGGUAGAGGGGGCAACCUCUCGAGAGUGGCGAACGGGUGAGUAAUAUAUCGGAACGUGCCCAGUCGUGGGGGAUAACGUAGCGAAAGUUACGCUAAUACCGCAUACGAUCUACGGAUGAAAGCGGGGGACCGUAAGGCCUCGCGCGAUUGGAGCGGCCGAUAUCAGAUUAGCUAGUUGGUGGGGUAAAGGCCCACCAAGGCGACGAUCUGUAGCUGGUCUGAGAGGACGACCAGCCACACUGGGACUGAGACACGGCCCAGACUCCUACGGGAGGCAGCAGUGGGGAAUUUUGGACAAUGGGCGCAAGCCUGAUCCAGCAAUGCCGCGUGCAGGAAGAAGGCCUCGGUGUAAC